rnacentral:rRNA from 1 species
UGUGUAGGCGGGUCUGUAAGUCAGAGGUGAAAUCCCACGGCUCAACCGUGAAACUGCCUUUGAUACUGCAGACCUUGAGUCUCGGAGGGGUUGCUGGAAUUCGUGGUGUAGCGGUGAAAUGCGUAGAUAUCACGAGGAACACCAGAGGCGUAGGCGGGCAACUGGACGAGUACUGACGCUGAGGCACGAAAGCGUGGGGGAGACAAACA